GUGAGACAGAAAUCCACUUCAUCCUUCCAACAGAUAACAAUUGACAAGAUCCCAGGUCUUCAUAUUGUUGGCAAGCAAGUCCAGUGGAUUUGUACCCUUCCAGUGUCCUACUUCAAAGCUGGUAAGAAA